rnacentral:rRNA from 1 species
GACGAACGCUGGCGGCGUGCUUAACACAUGCAAGUCGAGCGGUAAGGCCCUUUCGGGGGUACACGAGCGGCGAACGGGUGAGUAACACGUGGGUGACCUGCCCUCAGCUCUGGGAUAAGCCUGGGAAACCGGGUCUAAUACCGGAUAUGACUCCAUGACGCAUGUUGUGGGGUGGAAAGCCUUGUGCGGCUGAGGAUGGGCCCGCGGCCUAUCAGCUUGUUGGUGGGGUGAUGGCCUACCAAGGCGACGACGGGUAGCCGGCCUGAGAGGGCGACCGGCCACACUGGGACUGAGACACGGCCCAGACUCCUACGGGAGGCAGCAGUGGGGAAUCUUGCGCAAUGGGCGAAAGCCUGACGCAGCGACGCGCGUGAGGAUGACGCUGUGU